rnacentral:rRNA from 1 species
UACGUAGGGUGCGAGCGUUGUCCGGAAUUAUUGGGCGUAAAGGGCUCGUAGGCGGUUUGUCGCGUCGGGAGUGAAAUCCACUGGCUUAACUGGUGGCUUGCUUUCGAUACGGGCAGACUGGAGGUAUGCAGGGGAGAACGGAAUUCCUGGUGUAGCGGUGGAAUGCGCAGAUAUCAGGAGGAACACCAAUAGCGAAGGCAGCUCGCUGGGACGUUACUGACACUGAGGCGCGAAAGCGUGGGGAGCGAACAGG